rnacentral:rRNA from 1 species
AGAGUUUGAUCCUGGCUCAGAGCGAACGCUGGCGGCAGGCUUAACACAUGCAAGUCGAGCGGGCGUAGCAAUACGUCAGCGGCAGACGGGUGAGUAACGCGUGGGAACGUACCUUUUGGUUCGGAACAACACAGGGAAACUUGUGCUAAUACCGGAUAAGCCCUUACGGGGAAAGAUUUAUCGCCGAAAGAUCGGCCCGCGUCUGAUUAGCUAGUUGGUGAGGUAACGGCUCACCAAGGCGACGAUCAGUAGCUGGUCUGAGAGGAUGAUCAGCCACAUUGGGACUGAGACACGGCCCAAACUCCUACGGGAGGCAGCAGUGGGGAAUAUUGGACAAUGGGGGCAACCCUGAUCCAGCCAUGCCGCGUGAGUGAUGAAGGCCCUAGGGUUGUAAAGCUCUUUUGUGCGGGAAGAUAAUGACGGUACCGCAAGAAUAAGCCCCGGCUAACUUCGUGCCAGCAGCCGCGGUAAUACGAAGGGGGCUAGCGUUGCUCGGAAUCACUGGGCGUAAAGGGUGCGUAGGCGGGUCUUUAAGUCAGGGGUGAAAUCCUGGAGCUCAACUCCAGAACUGCCUUUGAUACUGAGGAUCUUGAGUCCGGGAGAGGUGAGUGGAACUGCGAGUGUAGAGGUGAAAUUCGUAGAUAUUCGCAAGAACACCAGUGGCGAAGGCGGCUCACUGGCCCGGUACUGACGCUGAGGCACGAAAGCGUGGGGAGCAAACAGGAUUAGAUACCCUGGUAGUCC